GGCGGCCUGGGUCAACCGGGAGGGCCUCGGCGCCUGCGAGGCGAUGGCGGCGGCGGAGCCGGGCCCGUUCUGCUUCGGGGCGGCGCCG
rnacentral:tRNA from 1 species